UCCCUAAUAUUCAGUUAACAUGUUAUCAGACACCCCCUCCCUGCUCAAUCCAUCUGCCCAGGCUCCUGAACUUCCGCUGCCGCUAUGGAGCACACCGGCAACACCGUCGUUGAUGCCCUUCCCCUGGCCAAUCCGCCCCCUGUUCCUGCUGCUGGCGCUCCCACCACCGUGCCGCCCGUCACCGCCCCCGCCCCAGCCCGCUACAUCAACUGGCUACGGGCCGUUGGCUAGCUACAGCACCCCGGGCGCUUCUUCCUCCGCUCCGUCCCCGGCGACCCGGCGUGGGACAUGGCCUCAUUCCAGGCCGCCCUGCACAGCGCCGCUGCCAGCCCUUGACCUCGGGGUCCACUCCAGAGUGGUACCUAGACUAUGGCGCUGUGGUGCACAUGUCUUCAUCGUCGGGACAUCCAAACCAAGGUGGUGAUCCUCCGCUCUGAUUCCGAUGGCGACCUCUAUCCUGUGGGCAGUCCAGCGCUUCGCUCUUGGACAUUCUUUGCUGGCAUUGCUGACACGGACCUCUAGCACCGGUGUCUGCGGCAUCCCAGGUCUGCCUCACUCUGCCUCAUCGCCGAUCAGCUUCCGCUGGCCUUCAGCAAGGACGCGCACCAUGUCUGUAGCGCCUGUCAUUUAGGAAAACACAAGCGUCUCCCAUUUCAGUCAUCUAGCAGUAGCAGCAUGUUACCGUUUCAGCUCUUGCAUCUUGAUGUAUGGACCUCACCGGUUGUAAGAAACUCAGGAUAUCAAUUGUUUUUGGUGGUGCUUGAUGAUUUUA